rnacentral:rRNA from 2 species
CCCUGGAGCAACGCCGCGUGAGUGAUGAAGGUUUUCGGAUCGUAAAACUCUGUUGUUAAAGAAGAACAAGUGUUAGAGUAACUGUUAACACUUUGACGGUAUUUAACCAGAAAGCCACGGCUAACUACGUGCCAGCAGCCGCGGUAAUACGUAGGUGGCAAGCGUUGUCCGGAUUUAUUGGGCGUAAAGCGAGCGCAGGCGGUUUUGUAAGUCUGCUGUGAAAGCCCUCAGCUCAACUGAGGAAGUGCAGUGGAAACUACAAAACUUGAGUACAGAAGAGGAAAGUGGAACUCCAUGUGUAGCGGUGAAAUGCGUAGAUAUAUGGAAGAACACCAGUGGCGAAGGCGGCUUUCUGGUCUGUUACUGACGCUGAGGCUCGAAAGCAUGGGUAGCGAACAGGAUUAGAUACCCUGGUAGUCCAUGCCGUAAACGAUGAAUACUAGGUGUUGGAGGGUUUCCGCCCUUCAGUGCCGCAGCUAACGCAUUAAGUAUUCCGCCUGGGGAGUACGACCGCAAGGUUGAAACUCAAAGGAAUUGACGGGGGCCCGCACAAGUGGUGGAGCAUGUGGUUUAAUUCGAUGCUACGCGAAGAACCUUACCAGCUCUUGACAUCUUCUGCCAACCCAAGAGAUUGGGCGUUCCCUUCGGGGACAGAAUGACAGGUGGUGCAUGGUUGUCGUCAGCUCGUGUCGUGAGAUGUUGGGUUAAGUCCCGCAACGAGCGCAACCCUUAUUAUUAGUUGCCAGCAUUUAGUUGGGCACUCUAGUGAGACUGCCGGUGAUAAACCGGAGGAAGGUGGGGACGACGUCAAAUCAUCAUGCCCCUUAUGAGCUGGGCUACACACGUGCUACAAUGGAUGGUACAACGAGUCGCGAAACCGCGAGGUCAAGCUAAUCUCUUAAAGCCAUUCUCAGUUCGGAUUGCAGGCUGCAACUCGCCUGCAUGAAGUUGGAAUCACUAGUAAUCGUGGAUCAGCAUGCCACGGUGAAUACGUUCCCGGGCCUUGUACACACCGCCCGUCACACCAUGAGAGUUUGUAACACCCAAAGACGAUGGGGUAACCUUUUAGGAGCU